UCUCACUUUUAUUUCAGAAAGAAAGAGAUUAACCAAACCGAUCAAUCUGAUCCGGAAGCCACCAUGUCUGAGGGAUCAUCGAGCUCCGGAGCAACGCCGGCACUAAGCCGGUACGAGUCGCAGAAGAGGAGAGACUGGAACACGUUCGGACAGUACUUGAAGAACCAGAGGCCACCGGUGGCUCUAUCACAGUGCAAUUGCGGGCACGUUUUGGAGUUCCUGAGGUAUCUGGAUCAGUUUGGGAAGACCAAGGUUCACGUAGAAGGGUGCAUGUUCUACGGCCAGCCGGAGCCGCCGGCCCCUUGCACGUGCCCACUCAGGCAGGCUUGGGGAAGCCUGGACGCUCUCAUCGGAAGGCUCAGAGCAGCCUAUGAGGAAAACGGUGGGUCCCCUGAGACAAACCCUUUUGCCAGUGGAGCCAUAAGAGUGUAUCUGCGCGAGGUUAGGGAGUGUCAGGCCAAGGCUAGAGGCAUCCCUUACAAGAAGAAAAAGAAGAGCACCAAUAAGGGGAACGAAGAAUCAAGCUCUGCCAGUACUACCAUCCACUUCUCUUGAGCAACACCUACUUGCUCAUUCAAAAUGAUGCUAUUGGAUGUUGAGCUUAUCAACGUCAAGAAUAAUUAAGUUCGUUUGGGAGAAACAUGUUUGGCUAGAGCAGUGAUAACCAAAAAGAUUCUUAGAAUAUUGUAGCGUACAAUCAAAUUGGAGGGGGUUCUUCAAUAACAAAUCAGUGAUGCACAAUCUAUAUGAGAGGUUUGGUUUCUAUGUAUCUGAUAUAAAUCAAUGGUAUGGACAACUCUUAAAAUUUUCUGUCGUUUAAUUACUUGGGAAUUUGCAAUUUCCCACCGUUGCAGAAACAUAUAUCUCAGUCAACUAUCAGUUUGUACCUUGUAAAAUUUCAACUUCAUCUAUAUAUGCAAACUUUUUUCAGCUU